CAGCAUCUCAAAGUCAUGGACGUCAUAGUUUCAUUUAUGAGCCCCCUUGCUGCCAAGGUCAGACCCACCUACAUCUGUAAACCCAAGGCUCACAGCCAGUUCACUUAAUCGUGGUCUCAGUCGGCCCUGAUGAAUGUGCUUGUUCUCUCAUAGCCAAACUGGAAAGACACAAAAGAACUAAGAUUGAUGCCUCAUGGCCACACUGGAGGUGAGCUGUAUUUCACAUGUGCGCUGAGCAGACACCAGAACGUGACCUGCAGACUUCUAGCCCAAGACCAGAGUUCAGAUUGCAGAGGAUGAUGGAACCACCUGGAAGGCUGCAGAAGUAUCUAUACAAGUGUGCCAUGUAUUAGUUAUUUGUCUUGUUGCUGCAACAAAAUGCAUAACAAAAGACACAGGGUCUCUGUGACCUCCACAGCCAGCAGAGUGAUGUUUUGAAGGAAGCAAGAAGGGAGCUUGAUUCACAACUCAGUAGCCAGAGUUGGUUCAAACUUCCCGAGUCUGACUCCAUUUUUUUUUAUUUUAGGCAUUUUAAACACAACACAAUUUGGUGAAAACUUUCUAGUAAUAGUUAACUCGAUCCUGUGGGCACAAUAAAGCAUACAUAAAUCACUUUGAAGAAUAAAGUCAACUAAAUAAAGAUUGGGCAUGGCUA
rnacentral:sRNA from 1 species